GAAAUGCGAUAAGUAAUGUGAAUUGCAGAAUUCAGUGAAUCAUCGAAUCUUUGAACGCAUAUUGCGCCCGCCAGUAUUCUGGCGGGCAUGCCUGUUCGAGCGUCAUUUCAACCAUCAAGCCCCGCGCUUGUGUUGGGGACCUGCGGCUGCCGCAGGCCCUGAAAACCAGUGGCGGGCUCGCUGUCACACCGGGCGUAGUAGAUUUUAUCUCGCUCAGGGCGUGCUGCGGGUUCCGGCCGUUAAAAAGCCUUUUUUACCCAAGGUUGACCUCGGAUCAGGUAGGAAGACCCGCUGAACUUAAGC
rnacentral:misc_RNA from 1 species